GGGAGGUAUGCGGGGUCUUCGAGCCCCCCAUUUACGCACGCACGACUGCCAUCCUUACUUUACGAGCACCUUCUGUUCUCCCUCGGCGGGGCAACCUGCCGUUGGAACCGAAUAAACUCUUUUUGCAUCUAGCAUUACCUGUUCCGAAACAAACAAUUGAGG
rnacentral:misc_RNA from 1 species